GAGAGAGAGAGAGAGAGAGAGAGAGAGAGAGAGAGAGAGAGAGAGAGAGAGAGAGAUAACUUUGAUGAUUAUGGUCCCCUGUUUUGGCCCUCUCUCUCUUCCACUUCUCUUCUUCUUUCUCUCUCUUAUCCCCCUUUCUCUCUCUAGGUCUCCUCCUCUCUGUCUACCUCUCCAUUCUCUCUCUUUCUCCCUCUCUCUCUCUC
rnacentral:sRNA from 1 species